GUCUCUCCCUGUCACACAGAGGCACACAGGGAAGCAGAAUGCCAAGUGGCCCAGCCAGCCAGGAGAAGCACAGCUGCAUGGCAGAGCGCUGGCAGGUCCAGACACACGGCAGCCCUCUGUGGGGAUUUCCCUGGCUCCCAGCUCACAGACAGAGGUAGCCACAACUCAGCUGAACUGCACAGUGCCACCUUCCUGAGAUGAGGAAAGCAUUCAGCUUUGGCUGAAUCACUUGGAUUUCAUGUCCCUCCAAUGCAGAAGGGCAAGCUGAAAGAAAAUUUCUGGUGUCUGAGCCACACAGAAGAUGCUUGUUCUGCAUUCACUGGAGCUCUACAUGUGGUGGGAAGAAUGGAAGGGCAGAACAGAGGACCCUUCUGGACCCAGAAAUAUUUCAUGUGAAGUUUGGUGUGAGAGGCUGUGAAAACAACAGCAGUACUUUCUUUGCACUUUGAAGAGAGCCCAGUUUGCCUGUGAAGUUCAAUUCAAGAGGUGCUGCCCUUGAGAGGUGCUGAAUGGCCCUUGGACUUGAAGAAUAUCCUGAAUUUCCUCCAUCUUCAGUAAUAGAAGAAAAUACUCAGCACCAGGUAAAAUUACUGAGAUACAGACUGUAAACUGCCUGCAAAAGAACACCCCAAACACUAGUAGUAGAGCCAGGAUAAGAUUUUGAGACUUGUGGGCACAGAGCAGAAAGCCCAUGCCCUGCAAGAGCACCGACAUCACCAGUUCACACUACCUUCAGUGUCAUCACCCGGCUCUGUUCUGACAAUUGUCCUGUCUUGACCACAAGGAUAUGGAGACAGACAUCUGCUUAGCUUCUUGCUUAUAAAGCUAGAGGCCUUCAAGAAGGCAUAGAAAAACUCAGCAGUCUGCUUAAAAAUGAAGAAGUCGUGACACCUAGCGGCUGAGAAUCAUGGAAGUACCCUUUCCACCUCUUUCCACUUCCCUGUGCCUGCCAAGUUCAAGGCUGAUGACACUUGGACUCACAACGAAAAAAAAAUGAGUGGAAAAACACUUCCAGCUGACCCAAAGAGGAACUGCGUCCUCUACCUGCUACAGUCUUCCUUCACAUGCUUUACCUUAUUUCUGCAGGUUAAGAUGAAUUAUACAUUGUUCAUUGUGAGGAGAACUAGUCCAGGAGUUGGAACCUGAGGCCUGGCAUAAUCCAGGAACAAAGGCAACCCUCCAACCUCUACUUUCCAAGUGGGAACCAGAUAUCCAAAUAUGGCCUUCACUUGAAGUAGGACUUUAAAUGAAAGUAGUGUGAGAAAAAGCCACAGAGAAAGCUGCUGAAGAUGCUUGGGAGAACUACCAUAGGCAUGGAUCAUGUGGCUAUGGUGAGGCAAGCAAGGUAUUGUGUUAAGCUUCUGAGUAUGCCUGAGCUGAACCAGGUGAUAAACCUCGAGCAACUCCACUCAAAACUGAAUCCCCUGCAGUAAAGGAGAGUGCCAUGCUCUCUUGGCAAUCCAGCUCCAUUCUGGAUUCUCAUCAUCAUCAUCCAGAUGGAGAAGAACAUGGGGAGACUCCAGAAAGAGUCCCUCUGAGAAUCUUCCCUGAUCCAGCCUCCAAAAAUUACCACAUCUAGAACUUUGCCUGCCAACUCAUUCAGCCGCGUCUUUGUGAGACACAAACUCCGUUAUUGUGUUAUCCAAGAUUAAAUUCCUAUUAUUAUAUUUAUCUUCUUAUCCUCAGCUUAAGUAACGCUGUAUCUCUAGGAUUUGAA